GAACUGGGUAUAAUACCCGAUAGGUCUCGAUUGCUGGAAUGCAUCGAGAUUUAAAGCUCCGGCGCCUAAGGAUGGGUCUGCGGCCUAUCAGGUAGUAGUGGGUGUAGCGUACUACUAGCUACGACGGGUACGGGUUGUGAGAGCAAGAGCCCGGAGAUGGAUUCUGAGACACGAAUCCAGGCCCUACGGGGUGCAGCAGGCGCGAAAACUUUACAAUGCUGGCAACAGCGAUAAGGGAACCUCGAGUGCCAGGUUACAAAUCUGGCUGUCGAGAUGCCUAAAAAGCAUUUCAUAGCAAGGGCCGGGCAAGACCGGUGCCAGCCGCCGCGGUAACACCGGCGGCUCGAGUGGUAACCGUUAUUAUUGGGUCUAAAGGGUCUGUAGCCGGCCGGAUAAGUCUCUUGAGAAAUCUGGCAGCUUAACUGUCAGGCUUUCAGGAGAUACUGUCUGGCUCGAGGCCGGGAGAGGUGAGAGGUACUUCAGGGGUAGGGGUGAAAUCUUGUAAUCCUUGAAGGACCACCAGUGGCGAAGGCGUCUCACCAGAACGGACCUGACGGCAAGGGACGAAAGCUAGGGGCACGAACCGGAUUAGAUACCCGGGUAGUCCUAGCCGUAAACGAUACUCGCUAGGUGUCGGCCACGGUGCGACCGUUGUCGGUGCCGUAGGGAAGCCGUGAAGCGAGCCACCUGGGAAGUACGGCCGCAAGGCUGAAACUUAAAGGAAUUGGCGGGGGAGCACCACAACGGGUGGAGCUUGCGGUUUAAUUGGAUUCAACGCCGGAAAUCUUACCGGGACCGACAGCAAUAUGAAGGCCAGGCUGAAGACUUUGCCGGAUUAGCUGAGAGGUGGUGCAUGGCCGUCGUCAGUUCGUACUGUGAAGCAUCCUGUUAAGUCAGGCAACGAGCGAGACCCA
rnacentral:rRNA from 1 species